rnacentral:rRNA from 1 species
AUUGAACGCUAGCGGGAUGCCUUACACAUGCAAGUCGAACGGAGUGGAGAACGGGUGAGUAAUGUAUCGGAACGUGCCCAGUAGCGGGGGCUAACUACGCGAAAGCGUAGCUAAUACCGCAUACUAUUGGAGCGGCCGAGAGCGGAUUAGAUAGUUGGGUGGGAAACGGCACCCCAUGGCGACGAGCCGUAGCUGGUUUGAGAGGACGACCAGCCACACGUGGACUGAGACACGGCCCAGACUCCGACGUGAGGCAGCAGUGGGGAAUUUUGGACAAUGGGGGAAACCCUGAUCCAGCCAUCCCGCGUGUGCGAUGAAGGCCUUCGGGUUGUAAAGCACUUUUGGCAGGAAAGCGGUACCUGCAGAAUAAGCACCGGCUAACUACGUGCCAGCAGCCGCGGUAAUAC